CAGUCGCCACGGUAAUACGGAGGGUGCAAGCGUUAUCCGGAUUCACUGGGUUUAAAGGGUGCGUAGGCGGAUCUGUAAGUCAGUGGUGAAAUCUCCAGGCUUAACCUGGAAACUGCCGUUGAUACUAUAGGUCUUGAAUUUUGUGGAGGUUAGCGGAAUAUGUCAUGUAGCGGUGAAAUGCAUAGAUAUGACAUAGAACACCAAUUGCGAAGGCAGCUGGCUACACAACUAUUGACGCUGAGGCACGAAAGCGUGGGGAUCAAACAGAAUUAGAUACCCGAGUAGUCCCUGUCUCUUAUAC
rnacentral:rRNA from 1 species